UCCCUUGUGGCUAAGCUGGUAAAGAAUCUGCCUGCAAUGCUGGAGACCUGGGUUCAAUCCCUAGUUGGGAAG
rnacentral:tRNA from 1 species